AUUGAACGCUGGCGGCAUGCCUUACACAUGCAAGUCGAACGGUAACGCGGGGCAACCUGGCGACGAGUGGCGAACGGGUGAGUAAAGCAUCGGAACGUGCCCAGUAGUGGGGGAUAGCCCGGCGAAAGCCGGAUUAAUACCGCAUACGACCUACGGGUGAAAGGGGGGGAUCGCCAGACCCCUCGCUAUUUGAGCGGCGGAUGUCAGAUUAGGUAGUGGGUGGGGUAAAGGCCUACCACGCCGACGAUCUGUAUCUGGUCUGAGAGGACGACCAGCCACACUGGGACUGAGACACGGCCCAGACGCCUACGGGAGGCAGCAGUGGGGAAUUUUGGACAAUGGGCGCAAGCCUGAUCCAGCCAUGCCGCGUGCGGGAAGAAGGCCUUCGGGUUGUAAACCGCUUUUGUCAGGGAAGAAAUCCUUUGGGUUAAUACCUCGGGGGGAUGACGGUACCUGAAGAAUAAGUACCGGCUAACUACGUGCCAGCAGCCGCAGUAA
rnacentral:rRNA from 1 species